AGANUUUGAAUCAUGGCUCAGGAUGAACGCUGGCGGCGUGCCUAAUACAUGCAAGUCGAACGCUUUGUGGUUCAACUGAUUUGAAGAGCUUGCUCAGAUAUGACGAUGGACAUUGCAAAGAGUGGCGAACGGGUGAGUAACACGUGGGAAACCUACCUCUUAGCAGGGGAUAACAUUUGGAAACAGAUGCUAAUACCGUAUAACAAUGACAACCGCAUGGUUGUUAUUUGAAAGAUGGUUCUUCUAUCACUAAGAGAUGGUCCCGCGGUGCAUUAGCUAGUUGGUAAGGUAAUGGCUUACCAAGGCGAUGAUGCAUAGCCGAGUUGAGAGACUGAUCGGCCACAAUGGGACUGAGACACGGCCCAUACUCCUACGGGAGGCAGCAGUAGGGAAUCUUCCACAAUGGGCGAAAGCCUGAUGGAGCAACGCCGCGUGUGUGAUGAAGGGUUUCGGCUCGUAAAACACUGUUGUAAGAGAAGAAUGACAUUGAGAGUAACUGUUCAAUGUGUGACGGUAUCUUACCAGAAAGGAACGGCUAAAUACGUGCCAGCAGCCGCGGUAAUACGUAUGUUCCAAGCGUUAUCCGGAUUUAUUGGGCGUAAAGCGAGCGCAGACGGUUAUUUAAGUUUGAAGUGAAAGCCCUCAGCUCAACUGAGGAAUUGCUUUGGAAACUGGAUGACUUGAGUGCAGUAGAGGAAAGUGGAACUCCAUGUGUAGCGGUGAAAUGCGUAGAUAUAUGGAAGAACACCAGUGGCGAAGGCGGCUUUCUGGACUUAACNGACGUU
rnacentral:rRNA from 1 species